GAGGGUAUAGCUCAGUGGUAGAGUACCUGUGUAGCAUGCAGGAGGUCCUGGGUUCAAUCCCCAGUACCUCCA
rnacentral:tRNA from 1 species